AUGGACCACCUCGUUGCCCAAGCGGCCAAGGCUACAUACGAGCACCCGCGCGACGAUACCUGCCGAAAUGGUGUCAUCAUGCCCACCGCCCGGAACCGCCAUUCCGACAACCAACAGAAACCACCCUCAUCCACCACCCACAUGGCGGUGGACCGCAAGCACGCAGCCGUCCACCCUGCUACCGCACUGCGCAAAUCCUCCACCCACUGUACCCAAAGCUUCCCCAUUGCACCCACACGGAGACGGACCCUAGAUCUGGGAAUCGGGUGCCCAGAAGAAGCAGCCAUGGCGGCCACCCACGAGGGAGGGGCCAUUGCCCAAGGAUGCCACUAG
rnacentral:rRNA from 1 species